UUAAGGGUGCAGGGCGGAUGCCUUGGCACUAGGAGCCGAUGAAGGACGUGAUAAGCUGCGAUAAGCUUCGGGGAGUUGCACGUAAACUUUGAUCCGAAGAUUUCCGAAUGAGGAAACUCACUUAGAGUAAUGUCUAAGUAUCAUUAAGUGAAUACAUAGCUUAAUGAGGGGAACUCAGGGAACUGAAACAUCUAAGUACCUGAAGGAAGAGAAAGAAAUUCGAUUCCGUAAGUAGCGGCGAGCGAACGCGGAUUAGCCCAAACCAAUAAAGUUUUCUUUAUUGGGGUUGCGGACAUAUCAUAACGAAGAGGUAUCGUAAUUGAAGAGGUUUGGAAAGACCCACCACAGAAGGUAAUAGUCCUGUAUGUUAAACGAGAAGACUUUAGAUAUGAUCCAGAGUACCACGGGACACGUGAAACCCUGUGGGAAGCAGGAGGGACCACCCUCCAAGGCUAAAUACUACCUAGUGACCGAUAGCGUAUAGUACCGUGAGGGAAAGGUGAAAAGAACCCCGGGAGGGGAGUGAAAUAGAACCUGAAACCCUGCACUUACAAGCUGUGGAAGCACAUUUCUUGUGUGACCGCGUACUUUUUGUAGAACGGGCCAACGAGUUACGUUAAGUAGCAAGGUUAAGCACUUAAGGUGUGGAGCCGUAGCGAAAGCGAGUUUUAACUGAGCGUUCAGUUACUUGACGUAGACCCGAAACCGGGCGACCUACCCAUGAGCAGGAUGAAGCGAAAGUAAAAUUUCGUGGAGGUCCGAACCCACGAGCGUUGAAAAGCUCGGGGAUGACUUGUGGGUAGCGGUGAAAUUCCAAUCGAGCCCGGAGAUAGCUGGUUCUCCCCGAAAUAGCUUUAGGGCUAGCCUCAAGGUGAGAGAUACGGAGGUAGAGCACUGAAUGUCCUAGGGGGUAUUGCACCUACCGAAGACUAUCAAACUCCGAAUGCCGUCAUCUUAUACUUGGGAGUCAGACUGUGGGUGAUAAGAUUCAUAGUCGAAAGGGCAACAGCCCAGAUCGUCAGCUAAGGUCCCUAAAUGUAAGUUAAGUGGUAAAGGAUGUGGGAUUGCACAGACAACCAGGAUGUUGGCUUAGAAGCAGCCACUCAUUCAAAGAGUGCGUAAUAGCUCACUGGUCGAGUGAUCCUGCGCCGAAGAUUUCCGGGGCUAAAACUUACUACCGAAGCUACGGCAUCAGUAAUGAUGGGUAGGGGAGCUUCCCAUACGGGUUGAAGCAUGACCGUAAGGACAUGUGGACAGUAUGGGAGUGAGAAUGUUGGCAUGAGUAGCGAGAUGUGGGUGAGAAUCCCACAGGCCGUAAACCCAAGGUUUCCAGGGGAAGGUUCGUCCGCCCUGGGUUAGUCGGGACCUAAGCUGAGGCCGAAAGGCGUAGGUGAUGGACAACAGGUUGAUAUUCCUGUACUACCGAUAACCGUUUGAGAGAAGGGAUGACACAGUAGGAUAAGCUAAGCACACUGUUGGUUAUGUGUGCCCAAGCAUUGAGGCAGUCAAAGUAGGCAAAUCCGCUUUGAUAAUGCUGGGAUGUGAUGGGGAGCGAAAUUUAGUAGCGAAGUAGCUGAUUUCACACUGUCAAGAAAAGUCUCUAUCGAGGUUAAAGGUACCCGUACCGCAAACCGACACAGGUGGGUGAGGAGAGUAUCCUAAGGCCAGCGAGAGAACUGUUGUUAAGGAACUCGGCAAAAUGACCCCGUAACUUAGGGAUAAGGGGUGCCACCAUCAGGUGGCCGCAGAGAAUAGGCCCAAGCGACUGUUUACCAAAAACAUAGGUUUCUGCUAAGUCGCAAGACGAUGUAUAGGAGCUGACGCCUGCCCGGUGCUGGAAGGUUAAGGGGAUCUGUUAGAGCAAUCGAAGCAGUGAACUUAAGCCCCAGUAAACGGCGGCCGUAACUAUAACGGUCCUAAGGUAGCGAAAUUCCUUGUCGGGUAAGUUCCGACCCGCACGAAAGGCGUAACGAUUUGGGCACUGUCUCAACAACAGACUCGGUGAAAUUGUAAUUCCGGUGAAGAUGCCGGAUACCUGCGACAGGACGGAAAGACCCCAUGGAGCUUUACUGUAGCUUGACAUUGGGUCUUGGUACUACAUGUACAGGAUAGGUGGGAGGCUUUGAAACCAGGACGCCAGUUUUGGCGGAGCCAUCCUUGGGAUACCACCCUUGUAGUACUGGGACUCUAACCAUAGGCCAUGAAUCUGGUCUUGGGACACUGUCAGGUGGGCAGUUUGACUGGGGCGGUCGCCUCCCAAAAGGUAACGGAGGCGCUCAAAGGUUCUCUCAGUACGGUCGGAAAUCGUACGUAGAGUGUAAAGGCAAAAGAGAGCUUGAUUGCAAGACAUACAGGUCGAGCAAGGAUGAAAAUCGGACUUAGUGAUCCGGUGGUUCUGCGUGGAAGGGCCAUCGCUCAACGGAUAAAAGCUACCCUGGGGAUAACAGGCUUAUCUCCCCCAAGAGUCCACAUCGACGGGGAGGUUUGGCACCUCGAUGUCGGCUCAUCACAUCCUGGGGCUGUAGUAGGUCCCAAGGGUUGGGCUGUUCGCCCAUUAAAGUGGUACGCGAGCUGGGUUCAGAACGUCGUGAGACAGUUCGGUCCCUAUCCGUCGCAGGCGUAGGAAAUUUGAGAAGACCUGUCCUUAGUACGAGAGGACCGGGAUGGACGUACCUCUGGUGUACCAGUUGUUCUGCCAAGGGCAUGGCUGGGUAGCUAUGUACGGAAUGGAUAAGCGCUGAAAGCAUCUAAGCGCGAAGCCAACUUCAAGAUAAGAUUUCCCACCGCAAGGGUAAGACCCCAGAAAGACUAUCUGGUUGAUAGGUCGAAGGUGUAAGUGCAGCAAUGUAUUUAGCUUAUCGAUACUAAUAGGUCGAGGACUUGACCAAU
rnacentral:rRNA from 1 species